UACGAAGGAUGCAAGCGUUAUCCGGAUUCAUUGGGUUUAAAGGGAGCGUAGGUGGCCUGCUAAGUCAGUGGUGAAAUCUCUGGGCUUAACCCAGAAAUUGCCAUUGAUACUGGUGGGCUUGAGUGCAGUUGCUGUUGGCGGAAUAUGACAUGUAGUGGUGAAAUACAUAGAGAUGUCAUAGAACACCGAUUGCGAAGGCAGCUAACAAAACUGUAACUGACACUGAGGCUCGAAAAGUGUGGGGAUCAAACAGG
rnacentral:rRNA from 1 species